UUAGCUAGUUACAUAUCUCACUGUCGCUUCUUACAACUUCCCAAAUAUGGACGGAAAACAGGCAUUUUGUGAUCGGUAAGGGGAUGCCACAAUAACUGGCAGAAACGGAAGCUGUUCAUGGAACAGGAGUGUUUUGACCACAGAACAAUUUUUGAGAGGGUAGUGCAGUUGUGAGGCGCCUUUUGAUUUGCACCCGCCUCCCAAGGGCGAGGAGUCUCUUCGGAUUUGCCUCAGCGCAUUGCACUUGAAGAAACCUCUAACAUAAACAUUUUUAAAAAGAGAACUCCAAACCGACCCUAUGUGUGUUCCUAUCACUUCGUGGACAAGUGGCCGACUGAAGAGCAUCCUUUCACUGAGAAGUGGCUGGGCUAUGAUGCUCCAGUAUAGAUCAGAAGGCGACAUCUCAUCAGAACAUUAACACAUACAUGUACAGUAGCUGUUAGCUAGCUGCUAACGUUACUCGCUAGCUAUCGUCACAUAUAGGGUAUCCUGAAUCAGGCAGACGUUAGCUAACUGUAGUAAAUGAAGACAAUUGUGAUGUGGAGUCUGAUCUGAGUGUGCCAAUGGCACUGCAGCAUAAAGGUGCUGAUACUCAAUGGGAUGUUCCAGCACUGACUGAUCACAGCUAUGUGUCAAGUGAACCAGUCAACAAGCCCAUCUGCCACAAACAAACCCAAUGUGGUGGUGCAGAGUCAUUGACCCACACCAUCCUGAAGAAUGACACUAGCUCAGUGUUGUAUACUGGCCUUCCUCUAAGUGUUUUCUUUAACCAUGUAGCAUUUCUGCAUAAAUUCUACACGGCUAACUUCAAAAUGCAUAUCACUGAUCAAAUACUGUUAACCUUGAUGAAGCUGAAUCUACUCCACAGUGAUAUUGCUGAACACUUUGCUGUGUCCCAGGGAGUAGUGAGCAGAAUCCUUUCCUACUGGAUUGACACAAUGGAGGAGCUCAUGAGGAUCUACAUUCCAUGGCAGCCGAGGUUAGACAAUCCUGAAGACGCUGCCUCAGUGCUUCAAAGAGAAGUUAUCCAACACCACUUGCAUCAUCCACUGCUCUGAGACCAUUCUCCAGAAAGCAGACAAUCUCGAUUCCAGAUGGGAGUCAUACAGCCACUAUUAUUCCAGCAAUACUCUCAAGUAUUUGGUUGCCAUUGCUCUAUGUGGACUCAUUAUGUUCAUUUCUCCUGCAUAUAGAGGCAGAUGUAAUGACAAGUUCAUCACCCAAAACUCUGGCUUCCUGGAAUACCUUAGGCCUGGCAAUGAAGUUAUGGCUGACGGGCUUCACCAUCCGAGAUCUGCUGUAUGAGAGGAAGGUAAACCUUGCCAUACCAGCCUUCACCCAGAAAGGAGGCCAGCUGUCUGACGAGGAUGUCGCAAGCACAAGAAGGAUAGUUAAUGUGCAUAUACAUGUUUAGAGAGUUAUCAGACUCAAGGUGUUCAAAUCCUCUUCUAGACUGUUCCCAUCAACCUGACACACAAAAUGGACAAAGUCCUUAGAAUCUGUGCAGCCCUUGUUAACAUGCAGGGUGAGAUCAUCCAUGAGGAUGCAGAAUGAGCAGUGAGAAUGUUCAUACAUUUGAAAUGUAACUUUAAACACUAUCAUUUCAUCCACCUGAGAUACUAUAUAUAUUAGUUUAAUCGGAAUUAUUUGUUCCUAUAUUUGAAAUCUACUGUAAUUUUGCCGGUUCCUGAUAAUUACAGGCAUCCACUAGGUGCUGCUAUAAUGCUUUUUAAAAUCUAUUUCAAAUACAUUUUCUUCAACACAAAUGUCACUAACAGACCAAGAGGGAAGACAAAUGUCAAGUGACACAAUUAUUCUUAAUUUGUGCCCUUGAAAACCAAACCCAGAAUCAAACUGAAAACACGUUUGAAUACUUUAGACAUGCCUCCUCAUCCUUCUUUUCAAAAUGGUAAAUAUCAAAGAAAAGGUCAAAGUGGAGUUUUAUAAUGUUUUUAUUAACUCCGUAAGUUGCUAAGUGCAAGAUGAGUUCACGAAGUGCCAUAUGAAAAAAGAGCUAUACAAGGUACGAUUAAAAUAUUCAUCAAUCAUAAGGUGUUAUCCUUAAACAUUAGAUAAGCAUGUUUGAAGAGAGUUGUACAAGGAAAGAUGUAAAAAAACACCAAGAAGAAUUAUGCAAAUAUAAAUCAGGGCAAUGUGCAUAUGAAGAGAACUGUGCAAGACAAAAAAACAACCCAGAGUUAUGCUUAGAUACAGUAGAGCUGACAGCUUUACAAGGCAAAAAAAUAACUAUUUAAAAACACAAAGUAUUAGGCCCCGAGCCUAGAUACCACAUAGAUUAACAUAUUUGGAGCACAUAGUUAGUCUGCCUAUCUGGAACUCAUAUACUAUCCUUGGCAGCAUAUGUGGGAAAUACAAUGCCUUUAGUUUAGUGAUUACAUCAGCACAGAACUUCACCUCAAAAGGCAUAUAAAUAACAACCAGCUCGGAUGGAGCCCAUUUACACCUGCAUGUAGUACCCACAGGCUCCAUUAGGUUGCAGCUGGGGAACCGCAUUCACCAGCUUCACAUCAGUGAGUUUGCCAGAGACUCACACUUCUUACUCAGAACAGGACAUUUGAUUUCUAUAAGUUUUUGAGAGUUUAACACUACAUCGGGGCUUGCAGAAAGCCAUGGCUCCUUGACUCACUGCUGUGCCUCUGCUCUCCAGACUAAACCCACAGCUCUCCGUCCAUGUGUUGGCCACCUGCUCAUUUUCCUUGCCAUAUGUGGUUACUGAGUUUCCAUGGAACCUGGGGAAGAGAUGCUCCCGCACAAAGUGGUCAGGAUUUGUUGAGGUGCGCACAGGAACCUUCUUUGCUGAACUAGCAGUGAUCUGAAGUUUAAGUGCAUCAUACCAUGCAUAGGAGGCACUCUCCUUUAGUGAAAUCUCCAAGCAGGCACAUUUAUACUCCUCCAGCUUAACAUGAAUGUCAUAAAAUGCAUGUUGAUGUCGUGUUCACUAUGAGGCUGCUGCUGGAUCUUGAGGACUGUUUGGUUUAGCGUUGCACUUGUGCAGACGGCUCCCACUGGAACAUUGGCCAAACUCUUUUACAGUUUUUUUUGAUUGCUUAAGCACGAUUUUCAAAACACUACACCCAAUUUUCAAAACACUACACACAAUUAGCACAACCACACACCCAAUUAGCAAAACACCACAGAUCCUUUGCAAAAUUAAACACUGUAAAAACUAUACACUUCUUUUUAAAAACCACACUUUGUUGCCAUAUGAAACACACACGUUCUCAUUACUAUACUCUGUUUGCACGAGUUACACUCUGCUGUGAUAAACCUAAAACACUUUUAGCACUUCUACUUCCCUAUGAUUAGAGUAGGCUACUAUCAACAAAGUACAAAUAUAAUGUCAAUUCACCAAACACUACACAAGACCAAUGUUGCAGACUGAAGAAACUCAUUUAUUUCUCAACACGCCCAAAAUGUUGACAUGGAGAUUCAUAAUACUGUAACCAAACGUCACUUUAUGCAUUGUAAGAUCAAAAAAAUAAAAAAUAACUAGA